AGCGUACACGGUGGAUGCCCUGGCAGUCAGAGGCGAUGAAGGACGUGCUAAUCUGCGAUAAGCGUCGGUAAGGUGAUAUGAACCGUUAUAACCGGCGAUUUCCGAAUGGGGAAACCCAGUGUGUUUCGACACACUAUCAUUAACUGAAUCCAUAGGUUAAUGAGGCGAACCGGGGGAACUGAAACAUCUAAGUACCCCGAGGAAAAGAAAUCAACCGAGAUUCCCCCAGUAGCGGCGAGCGAACGGGGAGCAGCCCAGAGUCUGAAUCAGUGUGUGUGUUAGUGGAAGCGUCUGGAAAGGCGCGCGAUACAGGGUGACAGCCCCGUACACAAAAAUGCACAUACUGUGAGCUCGAUGAGUAGGGCGGGACACGUGGUAUCCUGUCUGAAUAUGGGGGGACCAUCCUCCAAGGCUAAAUACUCCUGACUGACCGAUAGUGAACCAGUACCGUGAGGGAAAGGCGAAAAGAACCCCGGCGAGGGGAGUGAAAAAGAACCUGAAACCGUGUACGUACAAGCAGUGGGAGCACGCUUAGGCGUGUGACUGCGUACCUUUUGUAUAAUGGGUCAGCGACUUAUAUUCUGUAGCAAGGUUAACCGAAUAGGGGAGCCGAAGGGAAACCGAGUCUUAACUGGGCGUUAAGUUGCAGGGUAUAGACCCGAAACCCGGUGAUCUAGCCAUGGGCAGGUUGAAGGUUGGGUAACACUAACUGGAGGACCGAACCGACUAAUGUUGAAAAAUUAGCGGAUGACUUGUGGCUGGGGGUGAAAGGCCAAUCAAACCGGGAGAUAGCUGGUUCUCCCCGAAAGCUAUUUAGGUAGCGCCUCGUGAAUUCAUCUCCGGGGGUAGAGCACUGUUUCGGCAAGGGGGUCAUCCCGACUUACCAACCCGAUGCAAACUGCGAAUACCGGAGAAUGUUAUCACGGGAGACACACGGCGGGUGCUAACGUCCGUCGUGAAGAGGGAAACAACCCAGACCGCCAGCUAAGGUCCCAAAGUCAUGGUUAAGUGGGAAACGAUGUGGGAAGGCCCAGACAGCCAGGAUGUUGGCUUAGAAGCAGCCAUCAUUUAAAGAAAGCGUAAUAGCUCACUGGUCGAGUCGGCCUGCGCGGAAGAUGUAACGGGGCUAAACCAUGCACCGAAGCUGCGGCAGCGACGCUUAUGCGUUGUUGGGUAGGGGAGCGUUCUGUAAGCCUGUGAAGGUGUACUGUGAGGUAUGCUGGAGGUAUCAGAAGUGCGAAUGCUGACAUAAGUAACGAUAAAGCGGGUGAAAAGCCCGCUCGCCGGAAGACCAAGGGUUCCUGUCCAACGUUAAUCGGGGCAGGGUGAGUCGACCCCUAAGGCGAGGCCGAAAGGCGUAGUCGAUGGGAAACAGGUUAAUAUUCCUGUACUUGGUGUUACUGCGAAGGGGGGACGGAGAAGGCUAUGUUGGCCGGGCGACGGUUGUCCCGGUUUAAGCGUGUAGGCUGGUUUUCCAGGCAAAUCCGGAAAAUCAAGGCUGAGGCGUGAUGACGAGGCACUACGGUGCUGAAGCAACAAAUGCCCUGCUUCCAGGAAAAGCCUCUAAGCAUCAGGUAACAUCAAAUCGUACCCCAAACCGACACAGGUGGUCAGGUAGAGAAUACCAAGGCGCUUGAGAGAACUCGGGUGAAGGAACUAGGCAAAAUGGUGCCGUAACUUCGGGAGAAGGCACGCUGAUAUGUAGGUGAAGCGACUUGCUCGUGGAGCUGAAAUCAGUCGAAGAUACCAGCUGGCUGCAACUGUUUAUUAAAAACACAGCACUGUGCAAACACGAAAGUGGACGUAUACGGUGUGACGCCUGCCCGGUGCCGGAAGGUUAAUUGAUGGGGUCAGCGCAAGCGAAGCUCUUGAUCGAAGCCCCGGUAAACGGCGGCCGUAACUAUAACGGUCCUAAGGUAGCGAAAUUCCUUGUCGGGUAAGUUCCGACCUGCACGAAUGGCGUAAUGAUGGCCAGGCUGUCUCCACCCGAGACUCAGUGAAAUUGAACUCGCUGUGAAGAUGCAGUGUACCCGCGGCAAGACGGAAAGACCCCGUGAACCUUUACUAUAGCUUGACACUGAACAUUGAGCCUUGAUGUGUAGGAUAGGUGGGAGGCUUUGAAGUGUGGACGCCAGUCUGCAUGGAGCCGACCUUGAAAUACCACCCUUUAAUGUUUGAUGUUCUAACGUUGACCCGUAAUCCGGGUUGCGGACAGUGUCUGGUGGGUAGUUUGACUGGGGCGGUCUCCUCCUAAAGAGUAACGGAGGAGCACGAAGGUUGGCUAAUCCUGGUCGGACAUCAGGAGGUUAGUGCAAUGGCAUAAGCCAGCUUGACUGCGAGCGUGACGGCGCGAGCAGGUGCGAAAGCAGGUCAUAGUGAUCCGGUGGUUCUGAAUGGAAGGGCCAUCGCUCAACGGAUAAAAGGUACUCCGGGGAUAACAGGCUGAUACCGCCCAAGAGUUCAUAUCGACGGCGGUGUUUGGCACCUCGAUGUCGGCUCAUCACAUCCUGGGGCUGAAGUAGGUCCCAAGGGUAUGGCUGUUCGCCAUUUAAAGUGGUACGCGAGCUGGGUUUAGAACGUCGUGAGACAGUUCGGUCCCUAUCUGCCGUGGGCGCUGGAGAACUGAGGGGGGCUGCUCCUAGUACGAGAGGACCGGAGUGGACGCAUCACUGGUGUUCGGGUUGUCAUGCCAAUGGCACUGCCCGGUAGCUAAAUGCGGAAGAGAUAAGUGCUGAAAGCAUCUAAGCACGAAACUUGCCCCGAGAUGAGUUCUCCCUGACUCCUUGA
rnacentral:rRNA from 1 species